AUAUAACUUUAGGUGUUGCUUUGGGGUCUGCAGCUCAAAUUGCAAUGUUUGUGGUGAGAAUUUAAAACAGAAGCUAGCUGCAUCAAUUAAAGCUUUCUUCAUGAACUUUUGAAAAAAAUACUAAGCAAAUAUACGUUCUGGAUAAGACUAAUGGCCGGAAUGAAGAAUGUUGCUCAUAUACAAGCUCAAAUAGAGAAAGUUGGGGAAAAUGCUUAUCUUUAGGAGGCACUGAUAAAGAAUCUUCUACAGCUUGCACAACUGCUGCAACUUGCUCUUUUGGUUUUGCAUUAGUGCGUUACUGCUUUUUGAAGAAAAUCCCAUUCCCAUGUUGUGGAAGUCAAAGAAGCAAAUGAAGGAGAUAUGAUUUUAGCAGUAGUAAAUUAGAUUGGGGAGGCUAUUAAUUCCUUCAACCAAAUCUAUGGUGCAGAAACAAUGUUUGCUGAUUUAGGUCACUUCUCUGUACGUGCCAUACAGGGGCCAAGCUGCUUAUCUGUUGAGAUACCCAAAUUCUGCAGAAAGAAUAUUCUAUGACUCUGUGCCAGGUAACACCUUUUAUUGAUAUGGAUGCUUACAUAUGUCAAACAGACCCAAUAUUAGGAAUCCAAU